rnacentral:rRNA from 1 species
GACGAAGGGGGGCUAGCGUUGUUCGGAAUUACUGGGCGUAAAGCGCGUGUAGGCGGUUGCCAUAGUCAGGUGUGAAAGCCUUGAGCUUAACUCAAGAAAUGCACUUGAUACUGGGCGACUAGAGGACCGGAGAGGAUAGUGGAAUUCCCAGUGUAGUGGUGAAAUACGUAGAGAUUGGGAAGAACACCAGUGGCGAAGGCGGCUAUCUGGACGGUUUCUGACGCUAAGACGCGAAAGCGUGGGGAGCAAACAGG